GAAACCACAAAGGUCUUAUCCAUUUGGUUAAAAAGAUUUAGGAAUGCCUUUAAAUUGCAGAAAAUACUUAACCUCUAAAUCUUUAAACAGAAAAUGGCUGUGAUAUCUCACUCAAUCCUGUCCCUCACAUAAUUCUGCGGCCAAACUUUGCAAGAUCGGUAUAAAAUGGAGUGCUUGAGUAUUGCAAUCCCACGGAAAUAAGUAAGGAAAGGAGC